rfam:Gossypium arboreum cultivar AKA8401 contig_7451_5, whole genome shotgun sequence.
AACCCAUGGUGAGGGCACCUUCUCAGUAAAUCUUUCUAUCUCACCCAUGCAUCAUAAAGUGUUUCUAAAUCCAUCUGCAAAAAAGAAGAAAUACAAUUCCUCAACUU